rnacentral:rRNA from 1 species
GAUGAACGCUAGCGGCAGGCUUAAUACAUGCAAGUCGAACGGGAUUGAGAAGCUUGCUUUUCAUGAGAGUGGCGCACGGGUGCGUAACACGUAUGCAACCUGCCUUGUCCAGGGGGAUAGCCCGUUGAAAGACGGAUUAAGACCGCAUAACAUCAUUGAAUGGCAUCGUUUAAUGAUCAAAUAUUUAUAGGGACAAGAUGGACAUGCGUCUGAUUAGCUAGUUGGCGGGGUAAUGGCCCACCAAGGCGACGAUCAGUAGGGGAUCUGAGAGGAUGACCCCCCACACUGGAACUGAGACACGGACCAGACUCCUACGGGAGGCAGCAGUAAGGAAUAUUGGUCAAUGGGCGCAAGCCUGAACCAGCCAUGCCGCGUGCAGGAAGACGGCCCUACGGGUUGUAAACUGCUUUUAUACGGGAAUAACCCCGGUUUCGUGAAACCGGCUGAAUGUACCAUAAGAAUAAGGAUCGGCUAACUCCGUGCCAGCCGCCGCGGUAA